CUUGUUGGAUACAAUUGUUUUUAUUAAUAAAAUCGUGGAAGAUAAUCACUGCUACGACAGGGCAUGGCAUUGUCGGUCGUUUGAGUUUAAACAUAGGUCCAUUGUGUUUGCUACACUGGCUGCACUCCGGUAUUUCUGUCGAUUCUUGUGGGUGUAGUUUUGAGAUUAUUUACUACAUUUGUAAAUUGGGAGUAAGUUGAACCUUUAAAAUCGGGACCUGUUGUCAUCGAACAAUACAGCUAUCUGGGAACCAGACUGCAAAAACGAUGGCAGAGGGCAGUGCAUUCCUGGCUCUGCCUUAUGAACUCAUCCUGCAGGUGAUGAGCUACCUCACAACAUCUGAAGUUGUCAUCUUGUCAAGAGUGUGCCGGCGCCUGUCGGCCCUCCUGCCGGACCGCAGUCUCUGGACGGACGUGGACCUCCGCCGCUCCAGCCUGCGGGCGCGCCAGCUGGCUGGUCUGCUGCGCCACCUGCACGCCGACACGCGCCGCGUGUG